AAUUCUGUCCGGCCGACAUCAUUCUUCCCCGAGACGACACAACUUCAAGGACAGAAGCGGAGGACCCACACGCGUGAUCAACUCGCGCAGGAGGUCACUCCUAGGGGUGAAGCCGCACCCGCGGCCUGGCACCUUGAGCCAGAACCCGACAGCUAACUUCGCAGGCGGUUAACAAGAGAGGAA
rnacentral:sRNA from 2 species